GCGCUCGUAGCUCAAUUGGAUAGAGCAUCUGAUUACGGAUCAGAAGGUUGGGGGUUCGAGUCCCUCCGAGCGCG
rnacentral:tRNA from 4 species